CUGGACCAGCACCCACUCAGGUGGUAUUGCUCCAUAUGCCUGAGACCCUAACAAAAGCCUAAUUACAACUCAUAUGCCUGGAGCCAGGACAUGUGCAGGAUGCCAUGAUGGUCCAAGUUAUAUUGGGAUUCAGCCAAUAGAAGAUAUUUUGCCUGUCAUCCCUAAGCUUAGGACAAUAGGGUCCUGCCCACAAGAAAGAUUGUGACAUCUCACUGGACAAGCACCCACCCAGACUCUGCCAAGAGAGGGGAUUAUUACAUAUUGCAGAGCCCAGCACCUAGGUGGAGUGACUCUCAUCUUUUUCUUCUACCCCGUAUAUAGCCAGCUUGGUGACCUACUAUUUGAGUCUAUACCCAGGCCCAGACCACAGAUGAAAUUGUGCAAUAUGUGGAACAAACACCUAAACAAUAUAUAACACCUUCCUUGGCUCUGUCUACAAAGGGCACUUUUAUAUAUCACUGGGACCAUCAACCAGGUGAUGUUGUGCCAUAUAACUGAGACCGUAUCAAAAGCCUAAUAACAAGACGUAUGUCUGGAGCCCCGAUAUGCACAGGAUGGUGAUAUAACCCUCUUCUCUGGAAUGGGCCCCACACAAAGGAAGGAUAGUGACAUAUUGCAAGCCCAGGCACACAGGCCCAGAGCACAGUUGAAAUUGUGACAUAUGUACACCAAGCAACCAAGCAAUGUAUAACACCUCAUUUGGCAAUGGAAUCGAGGGCACUUUUACAUAUCACUGAGACCAGCGCCCAGCUGAUGUGAAAUAUUGGCCUGAACCCUGCCUACAAAAGCAUUGUGGCUUUUAUCUAGCUCCAUUACAUAAGUGAUGUGACUUCCUUCUACUGCCUUGGCCCUGCACUUAUGGUGAAUCGUGACACAAAAUUGGGUAGAGCAACCAGCCUGGGCCCUGACCAGCACAGAGAUUGAGGCAUAUUGCUGAACCCAGGACCAAGAUGAAGUCACUCUCCUGCCUUGAUCCUGCACACAGGGACCCUUGUGACAUAUAUACAGGCCAAUUGCCUAGUGGACAUGGUGUCAUAUUACUUGAGGCUGUACCGAG
rnacentral:lncRNA from 10 species